rnacentral:rRNA from 1 species
AAGCCAGCUUGACUGCGAGCGUGACGGCGCGAGCAGGUGCGAAAGCAGGUCAUAGUGAUCCGGUGGUUCUGAAUGGAAGGGCCAUCGCUCAACGGAUAAAAGGUACUCCGGGGAUAACAGGCUGAUACCGCCCAAGAGUUCAUAUCGACGGCGGUGUUUGGCACCUCGAUGUCGGCUCAUCACAUCCUGGGGCUGAAGUAGGUCCCAAGGGUAUGGCUGUUCGCCAUUUAAAGUGGUACGCGAGCUGGGUUUAGAACGUCGUGAGACAGUUCGGUCCCUAUCUGCCGUGGGCGCUGGAGAACUGAGGGGGGCUGCUCCUAGUACGAGAGGACCGGAGUGGACGCAUCACUGGUGUUCGGGUUGUCAUGCCAAUGGCACUGCCCGGUAGCUAAAUGCGGAAGAGAUAAGUGCUGAAAGCAUCUAAGCACGAAACUUGCCCCGAGAUGAGUUCUCCCUGACUCCUUGAGAGUCCUGAAGGAACGUUGAAGACGACGACGUUGAUAGGCCGGGUGUGUAAGCGCAGCGAUGCGUUGAGCUAACCGGUACUAAUGAACCGUGAGGCUUAACCUU